rnacentral:rRNA from 1 species
GACGAACGCUGGCGGCGUGCUUAACACAUGCAAGUCGAACGGAAAGGCCCUGCUUUUGUGGGGUGCUCGAGUGGCGAACGGGUGAGUAACACGUGAGUAACCUGCCCUUGACUUUGGGAUAACUUCAGGAAACUGGGGCUAAUACCGGAUAGGAGCUCCUGCUGCAUGGUGGGGGUUGGAAAGUUUCGGCGGUUGGGGAUGGACUCGCGGCUUAUCAGCUUGUUGGUGGGGUAGUGGCUUACCAAGGCUUUGACGGGUAGCCGGCCUGAGAGGGUGACCGGCCACAUUGGGACUGAGAUACGGCCCAGACUCCUACGGGAGGCAGCAGUGGGGAAUAUUGCACAGUGGGCGGAAGCCUGAUGCAGCAACGCCGCGUGCGGGAUGACGGCCUUCGGGUUGUAAACCGCUUUCGCCUGUGACGAAGCGUGAGUGACGGUAAUGGGUAAAGAAGCACCGGCUAACUACGCG